rnacentral:rRNA from 1 species
CCUACGGGAGGCAGCAGUGGGGAAUAUUGCACAAUGGGGGCAACCCUGAUGCAGCGACGCCGCGUGUGUGAAGAAGGCUUUCGGUAUGUAAAGCUCUAUCAGCAGGGAAGAAGAGAGUCGGUACCUGACUAAGAAGCACCGGCUAACUACGUGCCAGCAGCAGCGGUAAUACGUAGGGGGCAAGCGUUAUCCGGAUUUACUGGGUGUAAAGGGAGCGUAGUCGGCUGUGCAAGUCUGAAGUGAAAGCCCAGGGCUCAACCCUGGGACUGCAUUGGAAACUGGGGAGCUAGAGUGCUGGAGAGGGAAGUGGAAUUCCUAGUGUAGCGGUGAAAUGCGUAGAGAUUAGGAGGAACACCAGUGGCGAAGGCGGCCCACUGGACAGUAACUGACGUUGAGGUUCGAAAGCGUGGGGAGCAAACAGGAUUAGAUACCCCGGUAGUC